rnacentral:hammerhead_ribozyme from 1 species
AUUCAACUGACGACUUCCAAACAGGACGAAACAAACGUCCUGGAU